AUGUCCAAAUUUUGGUGGGGAUCAAGCAAGGGACAACAGAAGGUUCACUGGAUCAACUGGGAGAAGAUGGCAAGGCAUAAAUGUUUGGGCGGUGUAGGCUUCAGAGAAAUGGAGGCCUUUAACCAGGUGCUGUUGGCUAGACAGGGAUGGAGAAUGCUAACAUGCCCUGAUACUCUGUCUGCAAGAGUGUUAAAAGCUAGAUAUUUCAAGCACAUUAGUUUUCUUCAAGCCGCAAAAAACUGCAGGAGAUGA
rnacentral:rRNA from 1 species